rnacentral:lncRNA from 1 species
CUCCUCGUCCACCUCCUCCUCUUCCUCCCCCUUCACCACAACCUUCUCCUCCUUCUCCAGUUCUCCUCCUCCCUCCCUCCUCCUUCUCCCCCUCCUCCCCCUCCCAUCCACCUCCGCCACUUUGCGCGCGAGCCCUGGUUCAGCGCGGUGACAUCACUCAGGUACAGCUUGGUCUGGGGAAGUUUGGAGCGCGCGAUUCUUUUUUCCAUAAAAGCUGGAAGUUUUGAAAGAAAGAGAGAGAGAGAGAGAGAGAGAGAGAGAGAGAGAGAGAGAGAGAGAGAGAGAGAGAGAGAGAGAGAGAGAGAGAGAGAGAGAGAGAGAGAAGGAGGGGGAGAGCCCGGGUAUAAAGGGAGGGAGACGUGAUCGGAGAGAGAUAGAGAGCUCAGGAUGAACCACCGAGGAUCAAUGAUCAGCUGCUGCUGCCUGGCGCUGCUCGUGCUCGCGGCCGCGGCUCAGGAGCCCUGCCGCGCGGCCACGUGCAGCCAGGAGCUUCCCGCUGAUUUUGUGAGAGAAGUGUGGAGGAAAACGAAGGACCUGAUCAGCUCUCUGCCGAAUGAAGACUCCGGGCGCUUAAGACUGCUCCCUUUCUACUGCACCAACACGUCUAUCUGCCCUCAGUGUCUGGGCUGGUCUGAGGUUGGUCAUGUGAUCAGGGUUUACCAGAAGAGAGUCUUUCGUAGGGAUGUCAUCAAGAAGCUCCUCCCGGACCACUUCCAUGCACUCCUGCAUCGCCUCGACAAAACCCUACACGACUGUGCUCAGUGUCCGAAACGCUCCAAAGAAGUCCUUCAGUUUGAGAAGAAAAUCAAGAGGUUCCUGAGGAAGAGGAGGGAGGAAGGUGUGUUCAAGGCGGUGAGAGAGUUCCCCUUCGUCCUCCGAUGGGUCGAUGAGUUGAGGGAAACUCUUCAUCAUUGUUCCUGAUGAGGGGGACUCCAGAGUCCCUGAUGAUGAAUCAUUCAAUCUAUUUAUUUUAUUAGGUUUUAAAAAGCAGUAUUCAAUAUUUUUUUAUUUAUUUUAUUUAAUUGUCAAUGAAUAAAUUAUUAUUUUUAUCGGUUCUGUAUUUAAAAGUUUUGAUACAAUACAAUUUUAUAUGAAAUACAUGCUGUUGUCUCCUUCUUCUGGCAGAACUUUGCCACUACAAGUUAUACUACAGUUUUUGCCCGUUGCUUGAACCCGUUUUGCAAAACUUUGAAACUCAACACACAAGCAAAUAAGACACAACACUUAGAAAUAUACCAUUCACAUCUGCGUCAAAUUGAAACUCUGC